UACGGGGGGAGCAAGCGUUGUUCGGAUUUACUGGGCGUAAAGGGCGCGUAGGCGGCCAGCACAAGUCAGUUGUGAAAUCUCCGAGCUUAACUCGGAACGGUCAACUGAUACUGUGCGGCUAGAGUGCGGAAGGGGCAACUGGAAUUCUUGGUGUAGCGGUGAAAUGCGUAGAUAUCAAGAGGAACACCUGCGGCGAAGGCGGGUUGCUGGGCCGACACUGACGCUGAGGCGACGGAAAGCCAGGGGAGCGAACGGG
rnacentral:rRNA from 1 species